UCAAAACAAUAUAGAGGCAGCUGAAGAAAAAAGAAGAAGAAGAAGAAGAAGAAGCAGAGAAGAAAACAGACUUUCGUUGACAUAUGGCUAUGACCAAGCCUCAUUUCCAAGCUGAUAAAGACGAAAUAAACCGGCAGGACAAGGAAGGUCGCCUUUGCUACAACAUCAAACCACGAGGGCUUACCAUUGUAUUGGAAAUUACCAAAGAAAGGGAGUGAUGGUGAUCCCGU